UACGUAGGGUGCGAGCGUUGUCCGGAAUUAUUGGGCGUAAAGGGCUCGUAGGCGGUUUGUCGCGUCGGGAGUGAAAACCCAGGGCUUAACUCUGGGCUUGCUUUCGAUACGGGCAGACUAGAGGUAUGCAGGGGAGAACGGAAUUCCUGGUGUAGCGGUGAAAUGCGCAGAUAUCAGGAGGAACACCGGUGGCGAAGGCGGUUCCCUGGGCAUUACCUGACGCUGAGGAGCGAAAGUGUGGGGAGCGAACAGG
rnacentral:rRNA from 1 species